rnacentral:lncRNA from 1 species
GAAAGGUAAAGGAAUCUAUAUCUGUCUCAGCCCUGAGCCAGCCAGCCAUGCUAUGGCAAACUCUAUCCUGGAACCCACAAGGGAAAAGAAGCUUGAGGCAGAUUUAAGGAGAACUGGGGUUGAACGAGCUGGAGAAGACUGCCCAGAACAAAGUACGAUAGAGAGGAGUCGUCGAUGGCCUAUAUCCCCAAAGGAGCGAUGGGACUAAGGAAUAGGAUGCCAUGUGGGAUGCUGCCUCAGUCUGGGUAUGACAACAUCCUGUUCAGGGGAAUUCUCUCCCUAUAACAAAGACCUUCCAGUCAAGAUGUUGCUAUAAAACUCCAGGAGCACUCAACAGUGUGAAGGUAUCUAAUUAUCUAUCU